rnacentral:lncRNA from 1 species
AAUUUGGCCCUGAAGUUUCUGAGGAUAAGAAUUUUGUAAAAGAUUACAAAAGUGUACAAAAAAUUGCAAAAAAAUGACUUCAAAGGGCAAUAAUCCUUAUGGGGUCAAUUAAUAAGAAUGUGUAUCUCCAAGGAACUGAGACAAAUAUCCAGCAAAUAUCCAACAUGAGGCGAAUAAUGGAAAUAAAAACGGACAAAUACAAAUAAUAUGGAGAAUGGAGUUGGUCAUUUUAGAGAAACUUAACCCAUAAAGUUAU